UGAGAAAAGAGUGUUAUCACACAUAUAUAACUUAAUAAAUAGCACAAAGAUAUGCUAAAAUUUAAAAUUCAAUUAUACAUCUCUUGCACAAAAUUAUAAUUCAUGAGGAUCACAAGUUCUUUAACUACAAUAAAUUUUUAUCUACUUUACAAGAACAAUUUUCCUAAAUUAUAAAAAGAGUCUCCCGAGUCUUCAUUUAACCACGAACUUGCUAUUGGUCUUCCUGAUUUGAAAAUGAUAAAAAGGGAGUGAGUCACCACUUGGUCAGUAAGAAUAAUUUAAUACUCCAAUCCAAAGAUAAGAGAUAAUAUAUUGAUUCGAACCAUUACCUUUACUUCAAGCUUACCAUGCCCUUCAUAACCAUCUGAUUUCCACACCCUCCUAUAACUACAUCGAUCUUACUAAUCACAUGUUUUCACUUUUAUAUACCUCAUUUCAUUUAAAGGAUAUCCAUAAUUUACAUAACUACAUUCUCAUAAAUUACUUUUGGUUUAUUCACAAUCUCAUAAAGGCAAUAUCAUAUUUAUAUUAAUUACACAUAUUCACACAUAUGAUAUUCUUCUAUAAAUUAAUAUCCAUACAUAGAAUAUCAUUCUUUAAACACAUCACACAUAUAAUACAUUUUUUUGAACACAUAUUCACAUAUAUAGUAUCUUUCCUUAAACACGUAGAAUAUCCUAUCUCAUAUACGUAUCCACAUAAUAACAUAUUCUCAUUACUCACCAACAGAACCAAUCACAUAUGCACAAAGACUCAUUAUCGUAUCACACAACAUCAAUCAGUCACAAUCAUGGAAGGAGAUAAUAAUUCACAAUAUCAACAUAGACCAAAUCA
rnacentral:lncRNA from 1 species